rnacentral:rRNA from 1 species
UGAGUAACCUGCCCUUAACUCUGGGAUAAGCCUGGGAAACUGGGUCUAAUACCGGAUAUGACUCCUCAUCGCAUGGUGGGGGGUGGAAAGCUUUUUGUGGUUUUGGAUGGACUCGCGGCCUAUCAGCUUGUUGGUGAGGUAAUGGCUUACCAAGGCGACGACGGGUAGCCGGCCUGAGAGGGUGACCGGCCACACUGGGACUGAGACACGGCCCAGACUCCUACGGGAGCAG